ACUCCUACGGGAGGCAGCAGUGGGGAAUAUUGCACAAUGGGCGCAAGCCUGAUGCAGCAACGCCGCGUGAGCGAUGAAGGCCUUCGGGUCGUAAGCUCUGUCCUCAAGGAAGAAUAAAUGACGGUACUUGAGGAGGAAGCCCGGGCUAACUACGUGCCAGCAGCCGCGGUAAUACGUAGGGGGCAAGCGUUUAUCCGGAAUCACUGGGCGUAAAGGGUGCGUAGGCGGUUUUUUCAAGUCAGAAGUGAAAGGCUAUGGCUCAACCAUAGUAAGCUUUUUGAAACUGUUAAAACUUGAGUGCAGGAGAGGAAAGUGGAAUUCCUAGUGUAGAGGUGAAAUUCGUAGAUAUUAGA
rnacentral:rRNA from 1 species